ensembl:lncRNA
CAGUAGUAAGACAAAUGGCAGAUGGAUGUAGCUUGCCUUAUAUUUGAGUAUUUACUUUUUUUGGAGGCGUUUUUCGCUGAUUUGCAGAGUGACCGGCUUCCCCACGGAGCUGUAGCCGUAGGUCUGAGUCGACACCUUGGUUUUAAAACUGUGCUGGCCUCCCUCCACUCUCUGCACCUCGGAGCAGUACGACGGCUUCACCUCCAGCUUAGCCUGAGUCACCUGAAUGGGGAUGUGCCUCUCGGUGCUGGUGCGUGGGUGCAAGGAGGAAGAGGAGGAGGAGAAGAAGCUGCCAGACAGGUGGUCUCUGAAGCGGUUGAAAAGCCCGCUGCAUUGCCUUUGGACUGUGGUAGGACGCCCCACGUUUAGGAGGACGGGUUGACCCACAGACGAGCCGCCGAUCUCCCUCUGUAACACGGACACCUCAGACGGCUUCUCCACAGAGCCUCCAGAGCCCAAAGCCCCGAAAGUCUCACCUUCCUCAGGAACAUAAUCUUCCAAGUCCUCCAAAGUCAAAACCUUCUCGUUUGGAGCUUGUUGUGGAGUCUCCUCGUCCUCCACUAGAAUAACGGUCUGCUUGUCCUCGUCACUGUCUUCGGGGGUUGUGUUCAGGACUGUGGACAGCUCCAGUGGCUCUGUGGGUAUUGGCUGUGAUGGGACACUGCUCUGCUGCUGCUCCCAGGACAGGGCCUGGGCUUGGGCCUGCUCCACCAGCUUGUUGUUGGAGUUGUUAGCGUUGGGGUUUUCGGGCAUGACUCUCUUGGGUCUGGAGGGGGUGCUAGCGCGCUCAGAGCCAGCUGGGGAGAGGCCUCUCCUCCGGGACAGGUGAGGGGACUUAUUCACCUUGUACUCGAUGACCUCCUCCACCUCCACCCAGCGCGGGUGGCUCUCCUCACUCUGGGUCACAUACACUGUGGGGAUGGUGGUCUUCCUUGGGGUCAGGACCCUUCUGGCCCGAGCUCCGGCUCCAGCGGCAGGUUCAGGGGUGGAGGUCUCAAAGCGGUGCCCAGAGACGAGGGCUGUUCCUGGGGACCGGUGCCUCCUCAUGCGGGGGUGCUUCACCACUGUGGUGAUGGUCUCCUCGCUGUGAGAGAGAACAAGCACAUGGAGUUUU